GACGAACGCUGGCGGCGUGCCUAAUACAUGCAAGUUGAGCGCUGAAGGUUGGUACUUGUACCAACUGGAUGAGCAGCGAACGGGUGAGUAACGCGUGGGGAAUCUGCCUUUGAGCGGGGGACAACAUUUGGAAACGAAUGCUAAUACCGCAUAAAAACUUUAAACACAAGUUUUAAGUUUGAAAGAUGCAAUUGCAUCACUCAAAGAUGAUCCCGCGUUGUAUUAGCUGGUUGGUGAGGUAAAGGCUCACCAAGGCGAUGAUACAUAGCCGACCUGAGAGGGUGAUCGGCCACAUUGGGACUGAGACACGGCCCAAACUCCUACGGGAGGCAGCAGUAGGGAAUCUUCGGCAAUGGACGAAAGUCUGACCGAGCAACGCCGCGUGAGUGAAGAAGGUGUUCGGAUCGUAAAACUCUGUUGGUAGAGAAGAACGUUGGUGAGAGUGGAAAGCUCAUCAAGUGACGGUAACUACCCAGAAAGGGACGGCUAACUACGUG
rnacentral:rRNA from 1 species